GAUGAACGCUGGCGGCGUGCCUAAUACAUGCAAGUCGAGCGAACGGACGAGAAGCUUGCUUCUCUGAUGUUAGCGGCGGACGGGUGAGUAACACGUGGAUAACCUACCUAUAAGACUGGGAUAACUUCGGGAAACCGGAGCUAAUACCGGAUGAUAUUUUGAACCGCAUGGUUCAAAAGUGAAAGACGGUCUUGCUGUCACUUAUAGAUGGAUCCGCGCUGCAUUAGCUAGUUGGUAAGGUAACGGCUUACCAAGGAAACGAUGCAUAGCCGACCUGAGAGGGUGAUCGGCCACACUGGAACUGAGACACGGUCCAGACUCCUACGGGAGGCAGCAGUAGGGAAUCUUCCGCAAUGGGCGAAAGCCUGACGGAGCAACGCCGCGUGAGUGAUGAAGGUCUUCGGAUCGUAAAACUCUGUCAUUAGGGAAGAACAUAUGUGUAAGUAACUGUGCACAUCUUGACGGUACCUAAUCAGAAAGCCACGGCUAACUACGUG
rnacentral:rRNA from 1 species